UUGGAUUCGGAACCAGUUUCUUAGCCCGGGAAUCUACCCCAGCAAGGAAGAACUUGCCAUUAGCCCUAAGUCCUCGGAGCCAAUGGGAACCCAGGGUCGGUGGAGGGAGCCAGGCGCGGAGAGGCCAUUGGCCAGAGUUUUCCAGGAGUGAAGCCAAUUAGAGCGAGAACAAAGGAACCCGACCGCCAAUGGGAGGCGCCUCCGGGGGCGGGAGCAGGGAGACAAGGAAAUGCUGUCACCGCCGUUAACACGCACGUGGAGGUUUGUUAAAGGAAGCCCUGAUUUGAAGCCCUGCCUCCAUCAGUGUCAAGACAAGGGACCUCAGGGAAGGGACCAAGGAUGUGGCACCUGAGCGGUACGUCCUCAGUUCUUCACCUUUAAGUCAUUAGCACUCUGGACUCAAAAGUGUCUGCAGACCUGGCCGGGCUCUGAGUGACUCUUCAGUUAGGAAGUCACGGAGGAGUCUGGACGCGAGCCGCAGGCUGCCAGCGCUCCACCCGCACCCGCACAAUGUCGAGUGGUUUUGUUUCCCUUCCCCGCUGGCCCCUGGAAACUCCUCCAGAUCUCAAAGCCAUUUCACGCGUCCUGAGGAGUUAAGACGAUGAGGGGACCUGCCAUCUGAAUACCUCUUUAGCUGUCUCCACCCUGAAUCUCUCUCCUGAACACGUGACUGUGUCCCUUGCUCAUCGGCAUCCUAUCUUAUGGAAGGGACCCUGGAGAAGUGAGUGGGGGCCGCUGGGGGAUGGUGAGAACCCUUCACUUGGACAGAAGUCAUCCCAGGAAAUGGUACAAAAAACACUGGGCCUCAGAAUUCUGCUGAAAAUAGGAAAAAAAAGAAAGAAAGAAACCAAGACACACAUUCCCCCGAAGAGUAUCAUUAUGUACAAAAACAUGCUUUCUCUGCUUUGGCACAUUUAUUUGUGAGUCACUCCACACAUGCAUCCAGGGCUACGAUCGGUUCUGAAAUGAGGGGUGACUUCAUUUCCCCUGGGAAGAGAGGGCUGGCUCACCAUUUGCUUUUUUGAUAGCUGGGUCUGUCCUGAGGCUAAUCUGAGAAGACUUCCAGUUAAACGCUGGCCAGCAAAAUAGUCCACAGCCCUGCCUGCUGUCUCUCAUUCCCUACUUACGCCCUCUGAAAGGCGGCUUUGUGAUUCUACCACGUCCCCUAGGAGACAAACACCCCAAAGAGGAAGCUCUAGAAGGAGGACAUUCGGAAGCAGGCAGCCCAGUGCCUGCUGGUUCCUGAGCCAUUUUCACUGCAUGGCUGGAAUGAAGAGACUACCUACCAGCCUAAAUCACGGCAAAGGAGCAGACUGGCCUCUCAGUGUGCUGGGGCUUCUGGCUUAGGGACAGCAUGCAAUUUUGAUGUGGAGACAAACCAGCUCAGGGAAAGGAGCUGGCCAAAGAGGAAGGAUUCAGACAGCUGGGUCAGCAAGCACGCUCUUCCCGCAAUACAAACAGCCCUGACGUGUCGACACCGCUUGGAGCUGCUCACAUGGGAUAAAAGAGAAGCAGCAAAACCCGGCACUUAACUCUUCACACCCCUCCGCUCCUGAGCCAAGCUCAUCUCCCAACAGCAUGCCAGUGUGAAGCCCAUCCCGAUGAGAAGCAGCCCCCUACGCCAGUGGUGGCCUCGGAGCAUCCAGAAAGAGCACGUCCCAGACAUGCAGUGAAGUGGCGGCAUACCCCACUCCUGUGCUUGCUCCUGGGCUCUCUUUUCAGCCUCGCAGGAGGCAGGAGAACAAUCCAUUUUGGAAUCUGGUCAACUGAACAAAUCCACCAGUAGUACCACCUGGGAGCAUCUCCCCAAGGCAAGCUCUAAUCUCUUUCCUGUUCAAGCGGACAGGGCCCCGUGUUUUUACCCACUUCAUUCAUCCUCCUACUCAGCUUCAACAGAUACCUGACAGCCAAGUGCGACCUCCCCACCCUGAGCUCUCCUAAGAGAACACUGCUAGCCAGCAAGAAAGCUGACCAUUGAGGAAGCAGUUCUUAGAAGAGAAAGGGACUUUUUGACUAUGUUUCAGAAAUGGAAAGAUCUAAGUGUGGGCUCCACGAAAGAAGAAAUAGAGAGAAAGCUCUUUCCCCUCCUUCGACAAGUCUAGGAGCCACGCAAGGAGUUGCAUGUGGAUCCAAAACAAAAGCAGAGCAAAACAAAAAAGGAAAAACAUCAACAAACGCAUUCCAUAAUGAGGUCUAUUUCACAGCCCACCUUGGUUUGGUCCAGCAUGGAAGCCAAGUUUAGAACUUGCUGGGAAGAAGUUCACAAAGCCGGUUAAGCUGCUGCUCAAAGGAACCCUCUAGACGUAUCGCCCAGGAGACUUUUGGAGCUUCUCCAAAUAAGACUGCCCGGGUCUGCAGCCCACAAGUUUUCAGAUUGGGCAGUGUUUUCAUUUAAACUCAGAAGUGCUCACAUCUUUACAUUUUUUGAUAUUCUAACACACCCCUUAAAGCAGUGUUUCUCUGCAUCUUUCAUUCUGUAGUCAUUGUCCACCUCCAAAAUAAUUCCUAAGUUUUCAAUCUUUGGAAGCAACACUUCCAAUUCAUUUGUCUACAGAGAAGAGAGGGGUUAAAGAUAAGUCUUAGAAGAACAUGCUACAUGGAGUUCCCGUCGUGGCUCAGUGGUUAACGAAUCUGACUAGGAACC